rnacentral:rRNA from 1 species
AGAGUUUGAUCCUGGCUCAGAACGAACGCUGGCGGCAGGCCUAAUACAUGCAAGUCGAGCGCGCCCUUCGGGGUGAGCGGCGGACGGGUUAGUAACGCGUGGGAACGUGCCCUUCUCUAAGGAAUAGCCACUGGAAACGGUGAGUAAUACCUUAUACGCCCCCCAAUCAAAUUCCAUUUGGUUGACGGAAAUUCUGUUGAAUGCCGGAUGGCAUUUGAUGGGGGGGAAAGAUUUAUCGGAGAAGGAUCGGCCCGCGUUAGAUUAGAUAGUUGGUGGGGUAAUGGCCUACCAAGUCUACGAUCUAUAGCUGGUUUUAGAGGAUGAUCAGCAACACUGGGACUGAGACACGGCCCAGACUCCUACGGGAGGCAGCAGUAGGGAAUCUUGGACAAUGGGCGCAAGCCUGAUCCAGCCAUGCCGCGUGAGUGAAGAAGGCCUUAGGGUCGUAAAGCUCUUUCGCCUGUGAUGAUAAUGACAGUAGCAGGUAAAGAAACCCCGGCUAACUCCGUGCCAGCAGCCGCGGUAAUACGGAGGGGGUUAGCGUUGUUCGGAAUUACUGGGCGUAAAGCGCGCGUAGGCGGAUUGGAAAGUUAGAGGUGAAAUCCCGGGGCUCAACCCCGGAACGGCCUUUAAAACUCCCAGUCUAGAGUUCGAGAGAGGUGAGUGGAAUUCCAAGUGUAGAGGUGAAAUUCGUAGAUAUUUGGAGGAACACCAGUGGCGAAGGCGGCUCACUGGCUCGAUACUGACGCUGAGGUGCGAAAGUGUGGGGAGCAAACAGGAUUAGAUACCCUGGUAGUCCACACCGUAAACGAUGAAUGCCAGUCGUCGGAUAGUAUACUAUUCGGUGACACACCUAACGGAUUAAGCAUUCCGCCUGGGGAGUACGGUCGCAAGAUUAAAACUCAAAGGAAUUGACGG